UCACCGUUUCCGUCUGGUAUGAUAUUCAGUGCUACAAGUAGCAUUAUUAUGAAUUCUGAAAUUUCCAAGGUGAGGAAGAAAGGACAGGGCAGAACUCACAUUCUGGCAUGUCUUGACCUGCGUCUCUAUGUUGGAACGCCAGUUCUGCACCUCCUGAAACAGAGGUGCAUCUCAUCAGCGUCUGAUCAUCGAAGCAACCAAAUUCCCAAAUCCAAGUCCAUAUAUACGCACCUGUUUCAGCUUCUGGAUCCUCUCCAGCAACUCCGCCUGCGACGAGGUCAGCUCCUGCAACACAACAGAAGCACAAGGAUCAACCCAACUCGCCCAAAACUCUGCUCCUGUUGCUGCGAAGAACCCAGUGGCACUGCGCCCUCUGAAUCACCUUGACUCGCCCGUCCAGCUGCUCGAACCCCGACAGUCUCUGCAAGUGAAGAACCAGAACGCGAUGAGCACAAGCCAACUGGGCGGGGCCUAGACUUGCCAAGAACCGAUCAGAAUUCAGAAUUGUAGAUUCCAUCACCCAAGAAGCAAUUGACCGUGCGUACCGGACGGCUUGGCGCGGCAGUGGGUGCCACCGGCGGCGGAGGAGACGGUGGCGCCAGGUCGGUCGUCUCGGCGGCCAUCCGGUUGGUUGAUCUUGAUUGGCGAUGUCUGCAGAGUGGGCCCCGCCACCGGAUCGAACCUGGAGGCAGGGCUAGUAGUAUUUGUUUGUCUGCAAUGGAAAGCAAGGCUGUCGGGUUGGUAGGUGGGUCAGGUGGCUUGUUGUUUUCUUGCUCUCCCGCCGGUGGCAGUGGCAGGCAGCUGCUGUUCUCCGCCUCCAAUGGCGCGGUGCCUUUGCGUGAGAACGUCUCGAUCGUCGCACGGCUACCUAUCUCCGGUGAGUACAUGCGUGUGCUAUGAUCAACCUCUGGGAAUUAAAUUGCAUGAUGAUGAUCACGGACGCAUGAACCAAUCGGAUUGUCGUCUGAAAAUGGAUCUCACAGUGCUGCUGCCUUAGCUGACAGUGUUCACAGAUCCUAGAUGGUGCCGUCUAUUCUCUAGCUAGGUGAGUUUGAGGCAUUUUUAGCGAGGUACCAAGGAUUUGCCUCCAAGUCGGGUUUAUAAUAAUUUAUAUUUGCCCUUCUUAA